AGUAAUAAAUUGAGUACUAAUUUGACCUUAUUGUUUCUAUGUAGGCCAGCACAUCAAGUGCUUGCAUUCAGCUGCCUCUCUCAAGGGAUGUUGCCUGCCAAACAGACCACGUGGAAACACAUACUGUAGGCACACAGCUAUCCAGAAAAACACUGAAGACAAAAUUUAGAAGUGAAGGUGUCCAGGCAACUGUCUCCUGCAAAGAUUUUGGUGUUGGGACGUCCAAUGCAGACCCUCUGUGCCUGUCAUCAACACCUUUAAAGAGACCAGCCAAAAGACCUCGUCUAGACCUUAAUGAACUGCUCGAGGACAAUCCAUUGGAGGGGAGCUCUUUAGUGGAAGCUUUAAAGGGACAUGAUUCCACUUAUGAUCCUGCUGACUCCAUCACAGCAUCGUUAUACUCUACACAACAGUCAGAAGAUUCAACCACUCCCACCCACAACAGCAAAAAGUACAUAGUGUACGAGAACUGCAUCAUGGACUUGUUUAAUUUAUGUCCAGUCUGCACACGGGCAUGUGAUGUGAGGACCCAAAGGCUGG